UGGGGAAUAUUGCACAAUGGAGGGAACUCUGAUGCAGCGACGCCGCGUGAGUGAUGAAGGACUUCGUUUCGUAAAACUCUGUUCUAUGGGAAGAAAAGGACUGUACCAUAGGAGAAAGCUCCGGCUAAAUACGUGCCAGCAGCCGCGGUAAUACGUAUGGAGCGAGCGUUGUCCGGAAUUAUUGGGCGUAAAGGGUGCGCAGGCGGCUUUACAAGUUGGAUGUGAAAUAUUGUGGCUCAACCACAAACGUGCAUCCAAAACUGCAAAGCUUGAGUUAAGGAGAGGUAGUGGAAUUCCUGGUGUAGCGGUGGAAUGCGUAGAUAUCAGGAGGAAUACCGGUGGCGAAGGCGACUUACUGGACUUAAACUGACGCUCAGGCACGAAAGCGUGGGGAGCAAACAGG
rnacentral:rRNA from 1 species